UCUUAUUUUCGUAUUUAAGUAUUAUUUCCAUCAGCUCUUUUUCGGUAGAGUAUCAUCUGCCCUAUUUUGAGGUUAGCCUUUCGCAGAGGUGUAACUGCCGUCUACUGACUGCCGCAUGGAUGGUCUGAUCAGCUUCCUGAAAUUACAUGCUUCGAUGGCUCUUAAAGGAAGGAGAAGGCUGUAUGGACGCCUGCAUGCACACACUGAGGAGGAGGAGGAGGAUGUUAUUCAGUCAGGCUCUCCCUCACUGUGCCGGUGGCUUACACGGAUUUAACUCGGCAGAUCUGCGGCUGGGAGGUGAAAGCAUGCCCCCUCUUGCUGUGCAGAAAAUGGGCUUCAUCAAGCAUUGGCAGUCUGUAUCUGUGGAAGCCCCUGGAAUGGAUCGCAAAUCUCUUACAGGGAAGUGCUGUCAGCAGGAUUUCCAAAUCAAAUUAGAAAACCUCCAUGGAGGAGGGCAUUUAAAUAACCAUCUCUGUUGGUCCCUUAGGAUGUGCUUGUCUGUGAAAGCUUUCAAAUGGCACAGUCCUUCGAAAGCAUUCUCCAUUCUGCAUGGAAAGCUGCACGAUCUGGGACCAUGUUAUACACUGUCCUGCAUGAGCCUGGUGGAGGGUUGUUUUGAGGAGAGUGGCUUCUAAACUGCUGCUUUUGAAGAUUACACAGAGACCUACUCUAGCUGUAUUGCACCAGUACCUUUCUGGAGCUACUAAAUUGCAAAUGCAAGGAAUGACUAGAUAAAGCCCCUGAGGCUGCUGGACACCUGUGGUCCAUACCCUGCAUGGAAGCUGAGCUCAUUCACAGGGGCUUCUCUUGCCACACCUCAACCAUGCAGCAUCCAGGGCUUCCCUCUGCUCUGGUUCUUUCCCCAACUUACCCACUGCCUCUUCCAAGUCCUGCAUCAGUCUGUCCUCACAAGAAGAGCUGUCCUGAAGUAGGUCUUUCUCCUUAUGUGUGGGACCUUCUGAUGCUCAGCAAUGACAAUGGAGUACCAGACUUCUUCCCAGGAUAGCAAUGGAUGUUGAGAGCACAUACAAUAGAGGCUCCUACAAGCAAGUAUCUUAAGAACAGGAUGAGGAGGUAGGACAGAUGAGUCAGACUGAGCACACACUUUGUUCUUGGGAACUUGUACCAUUCUUAAUGUGUCUUCUAACUUUCUGGAGCCAGUGUCUAUACUUUUGAUUUGUCUGAACUGAAUCAAGGAGCUGGAUGAGCUGGUAUAGAAUCACAGAAUUGUAGGGGUUGGAAAGGACCUCAAGAGAUCAUUGGGUCCAACCCCCCUGCCAAAGCAGGUUCCCUAGAGCAGGUUGCCCAGGUAGGUGUCCAGAUGGGCCUUGAAUAUGUCCAGAGAAGGAGACUCCACAACCUCCCUGGGCACAGGUGGUCAUUCUCAGAAGGAAGAGGCAGUCGUGUUCAAGCUUUCCCUGACCUGAAUUCCUGGUUACAAGGCAAAGCAGUUUCUUAACUGAAAGGAAAUCUGUCUCUUCGUAUUGCAUGUAGAUAAAAUUGCUGACUCUUCAUAGGAAAAAAGAUGUGUAAACCGUCCUGAGAGGCUUACAUCUCCAUUUUCAGGUCUGCCUCACAUCCUAAGGGAGGACAUCCUUGUGCCAGAGCCUGACCUGAUUUAUGCUAGCUUAAAAUCUUACACAGCACAGUCCUCUCAAUGUAUCUGGGCAGAUAGCUUGACACCAGCCUGCGUAGCAGUGGCUAAACAAAAGCUAGUGAUCUGUGGAGAACUCGUCUGAGGGAAAUAACAUGUCUUUUUUGAAUAUUUUAAAGGCAGAGUCUCCUGGUUUGCAGUUCUGCACAGGUUUAUGCUGUACACUGAACUAAAGUCCUUCAUCAGCCUCCAGCUAUUUCCUUCACAAGAAAAUUGACUGCUGGGAGCAUUUUUUUUGCCUGUUGCUCCAGGUGAGAUGAUUGUUGACUUCUGUGGCUCGCUGGCUGAAAAACCUUCAGAAAGCAAAUCUUUAUGGACAUCAAGAUUACUAGCAAUGUGAAGAGAGACAAAAUGAGAUAGAUUUUAUCCUUUUUGUACAUCUCACCUGGGAAUAUUUCUUCCCAUCUGUAGUGGAUUUACAUGGCAAGGUUUUGGUAGCAGGGACCAUAGGGGUGGCUUCUGCGAGAAGAAUCCAGAAGCUGCCCCAUGUUAGGUAAGGGCCCCGCCGCUGGCCAGAGCUGGGCCAA